UACGUAGGGGGCGAGCGUUGUCCGGAUUUAUUGGGCGUAAAGCGCGUGUAGGCGGCCAGGUAGGUCCGCUGUGAAAACCCGAGGCUCAACCUCGGGACGUCGGCGGAAACCAUCUGGCUAGAGUCCGGAAGAGGAGAGUGGAAUUCCCGGUGUAGCGGUGAAAUGCGCAGAUAUCGGGAAGAACACCCGUGGCGAAGGCGGCUCUCUGGGACGGUACUGACGCUGAGACGCGAAAGCGUGGGGAGCGAACAGG
rnacentral:rRNA from 1 species